UCGCUCCUACCGAUUGAAUGAUCCGGCGAAAUCGGUGGACCGUGACCACGACUUGGGUUUCCGAGUUGUGAUUGCGGGAAAUUGAUUAAACCUUAUCAUUUAGAGGAAGGAG
rnacentral:rRNA from 1 species